GACGAACGCUGGCGGCGUGCCUAAUACAUGCAAGUAGAACGCUGAAGGAGGAGCUUGCUCUUCUGGAUGAGUUGCGAACGGGUGAGUAACGCGUAGGUAACCUGCCUGGUAGCGGGGGAUAACUAUUGGAAACGAUAGCUAAUACCGCAUAACAUUGACUAUUGCAUGAUAGUCAAUUAAAAGGUGCAAAUGCACCACUACCAGAUGGACCUGCGUUGUAUUAGCUAGUUGGUGGGGUAACGGCUCACCAAGGCGACGAUACAUAGCCGACCUGAGAGGGUGAUCGGCCACACUGGGACUGAGACACGGCCCAGACUCCUACGGGAGGCAGCAGUAGGGAAUCUUCGGCAAUGGACGGAAGUCUGACCGAGCAACGCCGCGUGAGGGAAGAAGGUUUUCGGAUCGUAAAGCUCUGUUGUAAGAGAAGAACGAGUGUGAGAGUGGAAAGUUCACACUGUGACGGUAUCUUACCAGAAAGGGACGGCUAACUACGUG
rnacentral:rRNA from 1 species